AUCCAACUGACGAGUCCCAAAUCGGACGAAACGCUCGUCCUGCAU
rnacentral:hammerhead_ribozyme from 1 species